UUCAGUCUGGGCUCCCAGCACGCUCUGGAGACUGGUUUAAGAGAAAUCACGUGGUGUGUACCCCGCCUCUGCGGGGGCGGGCGGCGGAGGUCUAGGGCUCGGUUCUGGUCACGCUGUGGGGGAGAAGUGCAGUCUUCUGCUUCGGCUCCCACUGGCGCUCCUCCCAGCUGCUGUUGUAGCGCCCCGUCUUCAGUCCUGUGGCUCUGCCCUGCGUUCUUCUGCUCCCUGAUCCUGCAUGCAAAAUGGGACCUUUCGCCCCAACGCUGCUGAUGCUGCUGCCCCCACUGCUGAUGCUGGUCCUGUACGGCUGCUGGCAAGCAAGAGGCUGGGCCGGACAUCAGUAUGAGCAUCACCGCGGACCUGGGGAACAGAAUGCAGCAUAUUUCCAGGCUAUGAGAUUCAAUGCCAACAUGUCUUUCCACGCCCAAAUGGUUAUCAAUGAAGGUGAGGCUUUCCGUGAAGGGCAAAGGACCAUCCCGGCUGUGGAGAGGCCGGGGAAUGCUCUGAGGCAGAGAUCAUGAAGGUGACAUUUCCCCGUAUGGAUACCAACACCGUGGGCACCUCUCGCCUUUCUUGAGAUCGACGGCUUAAAUUGGUUUUGAAUACCACGGUGAUACUAUAAAUUACCCUUUGUCCUGCUCAGUUAUUGAUUUAGCCCUUUUCUGUGCUCUCGUCAC